rnacentral:rRNA from 1 species
CGAACGGGUGCGUAACACGUGGGUAACUUGCCCAACGGUUCGGGAUAAGCCUUCGAAAGGAGGUCUAAUACCGAAUGAUGUCCGGGACCGGCAUCGGUACCGGAUGAAAGGCGGUCGUCUUCGGAUGGUCGUCGCCGAUGGAUGGGCCCGCGGUCCAUUAGCUUGUUGGUGGGGUAAAAGCCUACCAAGGCUGCGAUGGAUAGCCGACCUGAGAGGGUGAUCGGCCACACUGGGACUGAGAUACGGCCCAG